CCUACGGGAGGCAGCAGUGAGGAAUAUUGGUCAAUGGACGAGAGUCUGAACCAGCCAAGUAGCGUGAAGGAUGACUGCCCUAUGGGUUGUAAACUUCUUUUAUAUGGGAAUAAAAUGUUCCACGUGUGGGAUUUUGUAUGUACCAUAUGAAUAAGGAUCGGCUAACCCCGUGCCAGCAGCCGCGGUAAUACGGAGGAUCCGAGCGUUAUCCGGAUUUAUUGGGUUUAAAGGGAGCGUAGGUGGAUUGUUAAGUCAGUUGUGAAAGUUUGCGGCUCAACCGUAAAAUUGCAGUUGAAACUGGCAGUCUUGAGUACAGUAGAGGUGGGCGGAAUUCGUGGUGUAGCGGUGAAAUGCUUAGAUAUCACGAAGAACUCCGAUUGCGAAGGCAGUUCACUGGACUGCAACUGACACUGAGGCUCGAAAGUGUGGGUAUCAAACAGGAUUAGAUACCCGUGUAGUC
rnacentral:rRNA from 1 species